rnacentral:lncRNA from 1 species
GGCAGCCCUGGGCAUGGAUCCCAGACCUGAUCUGUCCCAGGGAAGUUGUAUCCUUGCUCACAAAGGGGACAUGGUCAUCAGGGUGUUGGGGGUUCUCAGUUAAAUGGGUCACCAGGGUCCAAAAGAGUACAGGACAGGGCCACAAGCUAGGCUGUCUCUGACCCCUCUUCCUAAACCAUUUAGCCACACACCCAAGGGCAACAGUAAGUCAACAUGCAGGCCACUGGCGAUGGGUAGAAAGAACACUGAAGUUAGAGUUGAGUCAAGUUCCAGCUCUUCACUUCCUAGGUCUCCACGUUCUCAUCUGUUAAAUGGGGAUAACAGGAGUUCCUGCUGUGGUACAGGGGGUUAAGAAUCCAACUUCAGUGGCUCAGGUCUCCUUGGAGGCUUGGGUUUGAUCCCCAGACGGGUGCAGUGGGUUAAAGGAUCUGGAAUUGCAACAGCUGAAGCAUAGAUAGCAGCUGCAGCUCAGAUUCAAUCCUUGGCCCAGGAACUUCCAUAUGUCACAGGUGGAGCCAUAACAUUUUUUUAAAGGGAGUUCCCAUUUUGGAUCAGUGUCAAGAACCCAACUGGUAUCCAUGAGGAUUUGGGCUCGAUCCCCGGCCUUGCUCAGUGCACUAAGAAUCCAGUGUUGCCUUGAGCUGCAGCAUAGGUUGCAGACAUGGCUGGGAUCCUGCAGUGCUGUGGCUGUGACGUAGGCUGGCAGCUUCGGCUCCAAUUCAACCCCUAGCCUGGGAACCUCCAUAUGCCACAGGUGUGGACAUAAAAAGACCAAAAAAAUAAAAAAUGCAAGGUGGAAUUACCAUGACUUUCCCAGGCUCUUGAUUCUUCUUCCUUUUCAGAGCGCUCGCCCUGUUCUCCUGCUGGCUCUCCACCUGGUACCCCGCUGGCUUCUCCCAGUCCGAUAAUUCUAGCGUCUUUUUCAGCAUGCCUUAUAAUCAGGCCACUCUCUUCCUCAGAGGUCCCCUUUCAUAGAAUGGAGGUGGCAACUAGAUUUCAGGUUGUGUUCUUUCAUUGAUUAUUAAAAGAGUCUGAGGAGCUAUAUAGUCUGCGAAAGGAGCACUAUAGGUGAUAAAUGGGCUAAGAGCCACCUCGUUGCCAACCUUACACUGAGGACAGGGGCUGGUGAGGCUUGUCCCCCCAGCCCACAGCCUGCCCCCCCACCAGGGAGUGGCCCGAUGUUCCUCACGGGGAGGAAGCUUGCCUGGUGCUCACAGCCCGAUGGGAGGGAUCCUUUCUCAAAGCAUCCACCUUGGUCUCUCCAUAGUGCAGAUUCAGCUUGGAGAGACAGCAAAAGUAACUCCGAAGGGGCCAGACCCCACCUCUGCUAUAGGGAGGAGGGGUGCCCCACACUCCUCUGCAGGUGGGGAGACCUGAGGGGCAGAAAGGAUGGGGAACAAGUCAAGGUUGUCCACCUGCUGGGCAAGGGAGUCAGGCCCUCACCUCCCCACCUCCUCUGACUCAAACCCCGGGUUCUUUCCCAUCAUAUUUGAAACAAAUUUCCUUUUCUGGAAAGUGAGGACCAGUUUCAAGUCCUCACUGACUUCAUAAACCCCAGGAGGGCUUUGGUCCUAAGACACCUCCUGACUUUCAAAGCCGACCCAGUAUCAACCUCUAAAAACAGGCUGCAAGGUCAUUAACACCACCGCCCGGGACCCUUUCGAACAGCUAGCACGGCCAAUUUUAUGUUAUGCAUCUUUUAUGACAGUUUAAAAAAUAUACGAAUACAUCAAAACCCAACUGGGUACUUGAACCAGGUGAACAGGCUGCAGAUCCUGUCUCAAUAAAGCUGUUUGAAAGAAACAUGCAGGGAACACACCUGUGUUGUUGCCCGCCGUGUCCCCAGCAGAUGCCAGGCACACAGAAGGUGCUCAAUAAGUGCGUGGGGUCUGUGGAUGAACCACAUGCCCAUCUGCUCACCCCUUGGGGACUCAGCCUCCUGCCCCAGCCCUGGCUGUGAGGGUAGCCUGCUCCCUGCCACUGCAAAUUUCAUCUGGAUAGACAGAAUUAAGCUGCUUGGCAAAGAUGGCUCUUAGCCCUCAGACUGGACUUCUCAGAGCAGGACUCUCGGUUACCCAUGUGGUCCAGCAAUAAGAAACUGACAGGGAAGGGACCCUGGGAGACCUGUGAUCUCCCCUGGCUUUCAGGAUAACCAGCUCUGGGCACAAUCAUCUAGCCCAAUGAGUUUCUCUAGAACCGAGCCAGGGAGACGCUGACUGGAAUGACAGCUCACCUAGAAGGUUCUCCUCUCCUGGCAUCAGAGGCCAGGGCAGCACCAGCCCAAAGCCCACAAUGCCAGGGCUAGGAGGUACAUGUUCCGCUCAGCGAGGCUGAUUUUGUGAAGCAGGACAAGAAAACAUUGACGGUAACGGCGGCAGUGGACCGGUCUUCCUUCUUCCCCUCUGGCCCCUGUGGUAGCUUAGUGGCUUGUCUCCACAGACGCCUGCCACCAAUCCUCAGUCCCUAUGUGUCUGUCAUUUCCCACUGAGAAGGAGAUGCUACCCUUCCGCCCCUUGAACCUGGGGCUGACCUGAGCAAUAGAAAUAUGGCGGAAGUGAUGCCAGAUGUUGCCAGCCUAGCUUUUAAGAGGGAGGGCAGUUUGUCUGCUGACUCUUUCUGACUCUUAGAGACCUGAGCAGUCAGCUGGGAAGUGCAAGCUGCUCUGCUGUGGAGAGAGGCCACAGGGAGGAGGACUAGAGGGCAGAUAAGAGAAUGAGGAAGCCAUCAGGGUUGAGUCUGCAGACGCCUCCAUCCCCAGAAUCACCCAACUGCAACCACUAGAGAGACCCCAAGUGAAAACCGCCCAGCUGAGCACAGUCCACCCCAGACCCAUCCUAGAUAGUAACAUAUCAUCACUUUAAUCUGCCACGGGAGCAGUUCCUUGCGUAGCAAUAGAUAACAAAAACUCCUGUGGUCAGAUCUCAACACAGGAACCACAGUGAUAUUCUAAACUCAUGAAUCAAGUCAUGUCAUACUCCCGUUCAACACCCUCCAAUGGUGGUGAACUUUCCCCUUUCUCCAUAAAAGUCUGUGUGCACGUGUGUGUGCACAUACGUGUGUGUGUGUGUGUGUGCGCGUGUGUGUGGUGUGCAUGCAGCUUUACUGAGACAUAAUUCACAUGCCAUAUAAUAUACAACCCAUGAUUUAAAGUAUAAAAUCAACCAUUCUAAUACGUUCAGAGCUGCAUCACCAUCACCACAAUCAAUUUUAGAACAUUUUCAUCGCCCCCAGAAGAAACCCUCUACCCCUUGGCAGUCACGCCCCAUUUCUCUCCAAAUCUCUCAGCUCCUGGCACUUAACUAAUUUACUUUCUGUCUCUAAAGAUGUGUCUACUCUGGAUGUUUCAUAAAAGCAGAAUCAUACAAUAUGUGGCCUUUGUGACUGGCUUUUUCCAUUGAGCAUAUUUUUUUUUUCUUUUUAGGGCCUCACCCACAGCAUAUGGAGGUUCCCAGGCUAGGGGUCGAAUUGGAGCUACAGCUGCCAGCCACAGCCACAGCCAUAUGGGAUCCAAGCCAUGUCUGACCUACACCACAGCCCAGUGGGAUCCCUAUUCCACUGAGGGAGGCCAGGGAUCAAACCCACAUCCUCCUGGAUACUAGUCAGGGUUUUAACACGCUAAGCCACAACGGGAGCUCCCAUAAUGGUCUUAAGGUUCACCUAUGUUACAGGAGGUACCAGCACUUCAGUCAUUUUUAUAGCUGAAUAGUCUUCCAUUGUACAGAUAUAUUACAUUUUGUUUAUCCAUCCAUCAGUGGGUAGGCAUUUAGUUAUCGCUACAUGUUUGGCUAUCUUAAAAACAAUGCUCGUGUGAACAUUUAUGUGCAAGUUUUGGGGUAGAUAUAUGUUUUCAUUCCUCUCAGGUAUUUACGUAACAGUGGAAUUGCUAGGUCACAGGGCAACUUUGUUCAACUUUUUGAGGAACUGCCAAACUGUUUUCCACAGGGGCCGCACCCUCUGACAGUCCCAGCAGCAUGUGAGGGUUCUGAACUUCCCACAUCCUUGACGGCACUUCUUACUGUCUGCAUUUUCAUUAGAGCUCCCUCUCAAUGGGCGUGAAGUAGGAUCUCACCGUGAUUCUGAUUUUGAUUUCCCCGAUGGCUAAUGUUGUCAAGCAUCUUUUUCAUGGGCUCAGUGACUAUUUGUCUAUUUUUGCAGACAUGUCUAUUCAGAUCUUUUGCACUUUUUCGAAUUUGUAUUUUUCAGUCCGAAGACUCAAAAAUUAUAUUUUCUAAUCAGAAGUUUCUUAUCAGAUGUAUGACCUGCAGAUAUGUUCCCCCCCACGCCCUCCCGCUAAUGGACUCUCAGCACAUGUAGAAUAAAAUCCAAACUCCUUGCUAACGCAGAGAGACCCCGCUGAUUUGUGACCUCAUCACCGGCCCCUCUCUGCACGUCACUGCCUACCCCCCACCACACUGCUCUUGAUGCUGUUCCUUGAACUUGUCCAGGUCAACCCAGCCUCAGGGCUUUUGCACGUGCCUGUUCCCUGUGCCCAGACCUUCCUUCCUGAAACCUCUGAGUGGCUCACUCCCUGACUUCAGGACUCUGCUUGGAUGUCACCCUCUCACAGAAGCAUGACCAUUUGACCUAAAAAAAAACACUUUUCACCCUGUCACUCUCUCCCCUUUAUCCUGCCGUAUUUUUCUUAUUAGGACUUGUUAUAACCUGGUAUUGUAUCACACAGUUACUCACCUCCACUCUCUCCCUGUUAGAAUCUCGGGCCAUGAAGAAUGCUAUCUAUCUCUCCCAAAUACGCCU